UCGUACAGUGCCUCUAUCGCUAGAGGGU
rnacentral:sRNA from 1 species